rnacentral:rRNA from 1 species
AUUGAACGCUGGCGGCAGGCCUAACACAUGCAAGUCGAACGAGUGGCGGACGGGUGAGUAAUGUCUGGGAACCUGCCUGAUGGAGGGGGAUAACUACUGGAAACGGUAGCUAAUACCGCAUACCAUCGGAUGUGCCCAGAUGGGAUUAGCUAGUAGGUGGGGUAACGGCUCACCUAGGCGACGAUCCCUAGCUGGUCUGAGAGGAUGACCAGCCACACUGGAACUGAGACACGGCCCAGACUCCUACGGGAGGCAGCAGUGGGGAAUAUUGCACAAUGGGCGAAAGCCUGAUACAGCCAUGCCGCGUGUGUGAAGAAGGCCUUCGGGUUGUAAAGCACUUUUAGCGGGGAGGCGUUACCCGCAGAAGAAGCACCGGCUAACUCCGUGCCAGCAGCCGCGGUAAUAC